GACGAACGCUGACGGCGUGCUUAACACAUGCAAGUCGAACGAUGAUGCCCAGCUUGCUGGUGGGAUAGUGGGGAGCGGGUGAGUAACACGUGAGUAAACUGCCCCUGACUCUGGGAUAAGCGUUGGAAACGACGUCUAAUACUGGGAAUGACUGCCGGGCGCAUGGGCUGGGGGUGGGAAGGAUUUUUGGUUGGGGAUGGACCCGCGGGCGUUCAGCUUGUUGGGGGGGGAAUGGCUCACCAAGGCGGACGACGGGAAGCCGGCCUGAGAGGGUGACCGGCCACACUGGGACUGAGACACGGCCCAGACUCCUACGGGAGGCAGCAGUGGGGAAUAUUGCACAAUGGGCGAAAGCCUGAUGCAGCAACGCCGCGUGAGGGAUGACGGCCUUCGGGUUGUAAACCUCUUUUAGUAGGGAAGAAGCGAAAGUGACGGUACCUGCAGAAAAAGCACCGGCUAACUACGUGCCAGCAGCCGCGGUAACAC
rnacentral:rRNA from 1 species